rnacentral:rRNA from 1 species
ACUCAAAGGAAUUGACGGGGGCCCGCACAAGCGGCGGAGCAUGUGGCUUAAUUCGACGCAACGCGAAGAACCUUACCAAGGCUUGACAUGCAGGGAAAUCCGGCAGAGAUGCCGGGUCCGCAAGGGUCCUGCACAGGUGGUGCAUGGUUGUCGUCAGCUCGUGUCGUGAGAUGUUGGGUUAAGUCCCGCAACGAGCGCAACCCUCGUCCCAUGUUGCCAGCGGAUAACGCCGGGGACUCAUGGGAGACCGCCGGGGUCAACUCGGAGGAAGGUGGGGAUGACGUCAAAUCAUCAUGCCCCUUAUGUCUUGGGCUGCACACAUGCUACAAUGGCCGGUACAAAGGGCUGCGAAACCGUGAGGUGGAGCGAAUCCCACAAAGCCGGUCUCAGUUCGGAUCGGGGUCUGCAACUCGACCCCGUGAAGUCGGAGUCGCUAGUAAUCGCAGAUCAGCAACGCUGCGGUGAAUACGUUCCCGGGCCUUGUACACACCGCCCGU